CACACGGGAUGUCAGUGCCGGAGAUUGGGACGUCAGGCGGCCCGUGGCCCGUGUGGCCCGUGUGGCAUGAAUAGCCCGGGAGCGUGAUACUGUCACACGGUGGAGGCAGAGACAUUAAAACGCAGAACGAGAGCAGGUUGGGUCUUCAGAAAACUGUCACCCACAGAACUGGUUGACCUCAGCCCGGGUUAGGCUUGUUGACAUGGCCUCAAAGGAAUGUCCCUGUGGGUCCGGCUGGAAUGCGGUCCUAAGUGGCGUAUCUGAAAGCUAAUAUUUGGUUGUCCUUGUCUGUCAUCCCUGGCCUAGUUCUACACUUAAAAGGAGAAGGUGCAGCUUUACCGAAUUCCCCGUCGGUCAAGUCAAUGCCGGCAUCACCAAAUCAUUAACCUGAAGGGAACACUGCCUGUGUUGGCAGUAAGUUUUCUGGAUGUUUCCACCAAGGAAGAAUCGUCCUGAGUCCUAUGUGUGAGUCUGGAGCCCCUCUCCAGGAGCAAGCAGCGUGCCCCGUCGAGUGCAGGAGGCCCCGAGACUUCUGUGAGGUCCCCUUGGUGGAAGGACCCGUUGAGUCCUCACGCUGCUCACGGUGGCCCAGUCAGCCUGAACCCUGGACUUCCCGGUGCCGGACGGCACGCAUUUCCCUGCGGUCCCACAGCCGGGGUACCAUGUGUUGAAAUUGUUUCCUGGCGACGUUUGGGGUGGGUGGGGAGCAGGAGGAAGGGAAACCCAGCUCAGAUCGGGGUGGGCUCCCACACUUGUCUCCAUGCUGUUCCCCAGUUUUGUGCCGGGAGCUUUGCUGGCUGGUUGUUGACGAGUGCGUCCGGCGUUCAGGCCCUGUGCUGAGCCCGGAACAGAAAGAACACUUCUUCAUCGGUGUCCUGGGCAGGAGGAAAUGCGGACACCCGAGUUACCGACAAUGGUUACUCCUGUCAUACCGGCUCUCUGGGGAACAAUGAGCUCUAGAGAAGAUUUAUGGACACAUGGCCCAAGCUGGCCUGGAAAGGACAGGCAGCGGUGCCUGGGUGGCUCAGUGGUUAAGCCUCUGCCUUCGGAUCAGGUCAUGAUCUCAGGGUCCUGGGAUCGAGCCCUGCAUCAGGCUCCCUGCUCAGCUGGGAGCCUGCUUCCCCCCAAACCCCCACCCUGCCUGCCUCUCUGCCUACUUGUGAUCUGUCAAAUAAAUAAAUAAAAUCUUAAAAAAAAAGAAUAUUAAAAAAAAAAAAAGGAUAGGCAGAACCCUGAUAAUGGAAAGAAACGCUCGUGACCAACAAUGCACCCAAGGCAACCUACAACAUGUGGCACAGGCAGCCGAGCCGAUGGCUGGAUAUAGACAGAGCUGUGGUUAAAGCAAGUGCGAAGUCCUUUCAGGGACAGAGCUGCCUGGCACCCGGCUGUGCAUUCGAUGGCAUACCCGACCCGCUGUGACUCCAUCAGGCCCAGAAGAUGGCCAAACUGCCUCUCCAUUUUCUGCAGGAUGAACAGAGUCAUACUGAAUUAAAGUUCUCCGGAGAAACGGAGCCAGUGGGA